ACUCAUAUAGUUUAUAUUAAAAUAUUAGUUUGUGGUACUAAAGAUAUAGAUUAUCAUUUUAUUGUGAGUU
rnacentral:tRNA from 1 species